UCAUUCAUUUUUACUUUUAAAAAUUAAUAUGGCUAACAGAAUAAUCAAAUAAUGACAUGUGGUGUGCCACGUGUACCUCAUGCUUACAUGAAUCAAUUUUUAAUAGUAGAAAUUGAUAA
rfam:Gossypium raimondii Chr01_contig_1248, whole genome shotgun sequence.